CUGAGAAACGGCUACCACUUCCAAGGAAGGCAGCAGGCGCGCAAAUUACCCAAUCCAGACAUUGGGAGGUAGUGACGAGAAAUACCGAGGUGGGCCUACAAGGUUUACCAUCGGAAUGAACGUAACUUAUAACCUUCGUUGAGUAACAACUGGAGGGCAAGUCUGGUGCCAGCAGCCGCGGUAAUUCCAGCUCCAGUAGUGUAUUUCAAAAUUGUUGCGGUUAAAACGCUCGUAGUCGAAUUAUAAAAACGUUAUUAAAGUCUAAUUAGCUACAUAUAAGUAGUUAAUUGGGUGACGUUUUUUUGUCGCAAGUACUAAUUGUGGGCUUCAAUGCUUGUGGUUAGUCGCUUGCGAAGCGUGCCUUGAAUAAAGCAAAGUGCUCAACGCAAGCGUAACGCUAAUAUGUAAUAGCAUGGAACGAAUUGAAAUGUGCAGGCGUUAGUUUAGUUAGUUGGUGGGGCUGCAAACUUUACAUGUAGCCUACCUUGCAAGCAAUUGCUCGGUAUUCUUAUGUGUCUWGUGUGUAGUCCGCCGAUUGGUCUGUGUUCAAUGGGUUGCCGGGGUGGUUAAACAUUCCGGUUGGACGUUGGACGCUCACAGGCCAYUCGGUACUAAACUGCCUGUCGGUUAAGAGGGACAUUUGAGGGCGUUAGUACUUGGAGGCGAGAGGUGAAAUUCUUAGACCCUCCAAAGACUGACAAAUGCGAAAGCAUUCGCCAAGAGUGUUUUCAUUGAUCAAGAACGAAAGUUGGAGGUUCGAAGACGAUCAGAUACCGUCCUAGUUCCAUACAGUAAACGAUGCCAACACGCGAUCAGUCUGAAGUAAUUUGGAUUGAGGUUGGUCGCCCAGGGAAACUGUAAGUGUUCUGGUUGUGGGGAGAGUACGGUCGCAAGGUUGAAAUUUAAAGGAAUUGACGGAAAGGCACCACCAGGAGUGGAGCCUGCGGCUUAAUUUGACUCAACACGGGACAACUCACCAGGUCCGGACAUUGGUAGGAUUGACAGACUGAUAGAUCUUUCAUGAUUCGAUGAUUGGUGGUGCAUGGCCGUUCUUAGUUGGUGGAGUGAUCUGUCAGGUUUAUUCCGGUAACGAGCGAGACCACGAUGUCUAGUUGAUGGCCAAACCACGACAGGGUAAAACCAAAGUGGUGCUUAUUUGCAUUCUGCAUGCUGUUGCAGUGUGGGUAGUUGGCGGCAACGUCGGCUACUUGCGCUGUAGCAGUGUGUGGGGUGCAUUAUGUACCAGGUGGUUUGGAUACUAGACAGACAACCGGAGAACCAAGCCGGGGGAAGCGUGGCAAUAACAGGUCUGUGAUGCCCUUCGAUGUUCUGGGCUGCACGCGCGCUACAAUGGCAGUGACAGAAAGGAGCUUGGCCGAAAGGUUUGGCAAAACUGGAAUCGCUGUCGUGAUUGGGAUUGAGCCUUGUAAUUUGCUCAUGAAAGAGGAAUUCCUCGUAAGCGCGAGUCACUAACUCGUGUUGAAUACGUCUCUGCCCUUUGUACACACCGCCCGUCGCUACUACUGAUUGAAUUAGUUUUUGAAGCGUAAGGAUUGGCGGACGAUGAUGGGCAACCUGAAUUGUUUUGCCGAGAAUCACCCUAAAAAAACCAU
rnacentral:rRNA from 1 species